UACGUAGGUCGCAAGCGUUGUCCGGAUUUACUGGGCGUAAAGCGUGCGCAGGCGGCUUUGCAAGACAGAUGUGAAAUCCCCGGGCUUAACCUGGGAACUGCAUUUGUGACUGCAUGGCUGGAGUGCGGCAGAGGGGGAUGGAAUUCCGCGUGUAGCAGUGAAAUGCGUAGAUAUGCGGAGGAACACCGAUGGCGAAGGCAAUCCCCUGGGCCUGCACUGACGCUCAUGCACGAAAGCGUGGGGAGCAAACAGG
rnacentral:rRNA from 1 species